rfam:Anaerobacillus alkalilacustris strain DSM 18345 Ga0137925_101, whole genome shotgun sequence.
CCUAAUACAUGCAAGUCGAGCGAACUCAAUUAAAGCUUGCUUUAUGAGAGUUAGCGGCGGACGGGUGAGUAACACGUGGGCAACCUGCCCUGUAGACUGGGAUAACUUCGGGAAACCGAAGCUAAUACCGGAUAAUCUUUGGAGCCUCAUGGUUCUAAAGUGAAAGUUGGGUUUACCUAACACUACAGGAUGGGCCCGCGUCGCAUUAGCUAGUUGGUAAGGUAACGGCUUACCAAGGCGACGAUGCGUAGCCGACCUGAGAGGGUGAUCGGCCACACUGGGACGUUUUCGAUGACGGUGUUCUUUUUAUUUACUGCCAUUUGGUUUACACCAAACUUUAACGAACAUACGUCAGCAGG